rnacentral:rRNA from 1 species
AUACGGAGGGGGCAAGCGUUGUUCGGAAUUACUGGGCGUAAAGCGCGCGUAGGCGGGCUGGUUAGUUGGGGGUGAAAUCCCAGGGCUUAACCCUGGAACUGCCUCCAAUACUGCCAGUCUAGAGUUCGAGAGAGGUGAGUGGAAUUCCUAGUGUAGAGGUGAAAUUCGUAGAUAUUAGGAAGAACACCAGUGGCGAAGGCGGCUCACUGGCUCGAUACUGACGCUGAGGUGCGAAAGCGUGGGGAGCGAACCGGAUUAGAAACCCGGGUAGUCC